UACGUAGGGUGCAAGCGUUGUCCGGAAUCAUUGGGCGUAAAGCGCACGUAGGCGGUCUGUUAUGUCGGAUGUGAAAGCCCUCGGCUCAACUGAGGAAGUGCAUCCGAAACUGGCAGGCUAGAGUACUAAAGAGGGUCGCGGAAUUCCCGGUGUAGAGGUGAAAUUCGUAGAUAUCGGGAGGAACACCGGUGGCGAAGGCGGCGACCUGGGUAGAUACUGACGCUGAGGUGCGAAAGCGUGGGGAGCAAACAGG
rnacentral:rRNA from 1 species